GACAGAUUUGUACUGCAGCAGUUGAGUCGCAAGUAACAAGAGCUGGUCGAGAAAUCCAUCACACAAUCCAUCAAAGAACAGGAUUUGAGGUCAGAGCUUAUGAGGUUCGGUGAUAGCAGCACUCCUUGGUUAACCUGACAACAGCCCGUGAGAGGUUAAGGUGCAGCUCAGGAGGUACCUGUUCCAGUAAUACCAGGUUCAAGGCAAGACACAUUUAUUCAUACUGGCUCAGUCUGAAGUCAUCGAUCAACCUAACCCUAAAUGUUUGUCAAGAGGGAGCAAAGAGAAUGUAUUGUAAUGUAUGAAGCAAAUAUGGGGCAGAAUGUGCAAACUCCACAGACUGAGUAACAAAUAAACAUUUAGAUAAAGUUAGAAAGACUGGUCUUGAUAUUUAAACAUAACUAUGUUUGU